rnacentral:rRNA from 1 species
UGGGGAAUCUUGCACAAUGGGCGCAAGCCUGAUGCAGCCAUGCCGCGUGAGCGAAGAAGGCCUUAGGGUUGUAAAGCUCUUUCACCGGUGAAGAUAAUGACGGUAGCCGGAGAAGAAGCCCCGGCUAACUCCGUGCCAGCAGCCGCGGUAAUACGGAGGGGGCUAGCGUUGUUCGGAAUUACUGGGCGUAAAGCGCGCGUAGGCGGAUCGGUAAGUUAGGGGUGAAAGCUCGGGGCUUAACCUCGGAACUGCCCUUAAUACUGCUGAUCUAGAGUCCGGAAGGGGUGAGUGGAAUUCCCAGUGUAGAGGUGGAAUUCGUAGAUAUUGGGAAGAACGCCGGAGGCGAAGGCGACUCACUGGUACGGUACUGACGCUGAGGUGCGAAAGCGUGGGUAGCAAACAGG